rnacentral:rRNA from 1 species
CCUACGGGAGGCAGCAGUGAGGAAUAUUGGUCAAUGGACGAGAGUCUGAACCAGCCAAGUAGCGUGAAGGAUGACUGCCCUAUGGGUUGUAAACUUCUUUUAUAUGGGAAUAAAACGUUCCACGUGUGGGAUUUUGUAUGUACCAUAUGAAUAAGGAUCGACUAACUCCGUGCCAGCAGCCGCGGUAAUACGGAGGAUCCGAGCGUUAUCCGGAUUUAUUGGGUUUAAAGGGAGCGUAGGUGGAUUGGUAAGUCAGUUGUGAAAGUUUGCGGCUCAACCGUAAAAUUGCAGUUGAAACUGGCAGUCUUGAGUACAGUAGAGGUGGGCGGAAUUCGUGGUGUAGCGGUGAAAUGCUUAGAUAUCACGAAGAACUCCGAUUGCGAAGGCAGUUCACUGGACUGCAACUGACACUGAGGCUCGAAAGUGUGGGUAUCAAACAGGAUUAGAUACCCUUGUAGUC